rnacentral:lncRNA from 1 species
AAUGAAAUUCUAUGGGAAAUAAAUGUGGCCAAGGUGGAGAUGUGUGUGUGUGUGUGUAAAUUUCCUUGGAUGAAAAAUUAUUAAUUUUUAUACAAAAACAAGUCUUUCAGAAUCAGAAUGACAUAAAGCAUUUGGAAAGAACACUCCUUUCCAAAACAUAUGAGUCAUUCUGGUCUCUUUUUUUUAAAGAUUUUUUUAAAGAUCUUGCUUCAAAUAUUAUGACUGUAUCAAUAUAUAUAUAUAUAUAUAUAUAUAUAUAUAUAUAUAUAUAUAUAUAUAUGUAUAUAUGUCAGAUCAAGAUUGGAGCAUGGUGCAGCCAUCUGGCUCACCAGCCCUCAGUCAAAAUCGUCCAGCCCAUGCUAACAUGGAAAGUGGACGUUAAACGAUAAUGAUGAUGAUGAUGAUGUAUAUAUAUAUAUAUACAUAUUUAUAUAUAUAUGUGUGUGUGUGUGUAUGUGUGUAUAAAUGCAUAUAUAUAUAUAAGUAUAUAUAUAGAUAAGUAUAUAUAUAUAUAUAUAUAUAUAUAUAUAUAUAUGUAUAUAUGCAUGUAUAUAUAAAGUUAGAAAUGACAGAGAAAUAGUUUGAUGAAAUUAUAUUUAAAAAAUAAGAAAAUUCUAAUAUCAUGACAAAUUAUUCCAUAACUUAAAACCGACUUUCUUUCACCUGAAGACAUAGCUUAAAUUCUGCAUUAUUUUGAAGGAUUUUUUUGCUUUUUGCAUUAAUGCAGACAUGUAACAAAUUUAUUUAAUAUUAAAUAUAAUAAUAUAAAUUACUUACAAGUUUUUAAGUUACGAAACAAUCUGUUAUGAUAUUGGAAUUUUCUUAUGUCUAAAUAAAAUUUCAUCAGAGAAUUUCUCUGUCAUCUGUGACUUUGUACAUACCUUUGUGGCAGGAGGAUAAUCGAUUACAUUGACCCCAGUGCUCAACUAGUUCUUAUUUCAUUGAUCCCGAAAAGAUGAAGGGCAAAGUCGACCUCGGAGAGAAUCUCUGAGUUCAAAUCCUGCUGUGGUUGGCUUUGCCUUUUAUCUUUUAGAGGUCGAUGCACGAUGCAUAAGUUUAUUAUUGGCAUAACCACUCUACCAAGAUACAAAUAUGCAUGCAUGCAUGUAUGUAUGUAUAUAUGUAUGCAUGCAUGUAUGUAUGUAGGUAGGUAGGUACACACACAUACGCAGAUACACACAACAUACAUACACACAUAUGCAUGUGACUGUGUGUGUGUGUGCAUGUGUAUGUUUGUUUGCCCAUGUGUGUGCACCUCUGUGUGAGCAUAUGUGUGUGUACAUUUUUGGGUGUGUGUGUGAUGUGUUAGUGUGUGAAUGUGUGCAUAUGUGUGUGUCACAUGGUUAUAAAUUUAUGGAACAAUGAAGUUUAUGCUGGUGCGCAACUUCAAGGGAGAUAACCUCUUCUCUCCUAGAAGAAAGCAGGUUCUUUAAGAUGCAACUGUCAUGGUGGCAUUGUUCUUCAACUCUCUUAGACUAUACCAGCAACUGAGCACCUCAUUUUAAAACUUUUGCUACCAAACGAUCACUAAAUCACUGGCUAUUAGCUUGGUUUUUUUUCUGUAUGAUAACAAACCUUUUGCUUUUAAAAUGCUCCUAUUUGAAUUAGCAUAAAGUUCUUUAUGAAAAUUAGGGUAGAAAUUUUUAAUUUACUAAAAUUGUGUUAAUAGGAGAGUAUUGUAGUUUGCUUGAAGCAUUGUGUAGUUUGUAAAGAAUAAAAAGUUUUUAUUCUUUACUAUGUUAAUAAACGAUAAGUUACUUUACUAAAUCAUCCAAAAUUCUUAAUGAUUUUCAGAUUGACUGAAACACAUACACGGUGUUUUUCUUAUAAAUUUAACCAUGAAAUGGUUACAAUUCUUUUCCAGUAAAUUGGUUUGAUGUGAAACAAACCAUUUCCUACUUUUAGGUUUUUUUUCUUUCUUUGCUUCUUCUUGUCGGAAGAGAACACAGUUUAUGGUCCUUUAGAGCAGGAAUCCCCAACCUUUUUGAACUAUGGAAUGGUUUCAUGCAAGGCAAUUUCUUCUAGAGAUUGAAAAAAAUCAGGUGCAUAACAAAACACAAUGAUGUGCAUGAUAUAUAAUUUAAUUAUUACAUAUAUAAUACAUUUA